rnacentral:rRNA from 1 species
CCUACGGGAGGCUGCAGUGAGGAAUAUUGGUCAAUGGACGCAAGUCUGAACCAGCCAUGCCGCGUGCAGGAAGACGGCCCUAUGAGUUGUAAACUGCUUUUGUACGAGGGUAAACGCAGAUACGCGUAUCUGUCUGAAAGUAUCGUACGAAUAAGGAUCGGCUAACUCCGUGCCAGCAGCCGCGGUAAUACGGAGGAUUCAAGCGUUAUCCGGAUUUAUUGGGUUUAAAGGGUGCGUAGGCGGGUGGAUAAGUUAGAGGUGAAAGCUCGAGGCUCAACUUCGGAAUUGCCUCUGAUACUGGUAGGCUAGAGAAUAGUUGCGGUAGGCGGAAUGUAUGGUGUAGCGGUGAAAUGCUUAGAGAUCAUACAGAACACCGAUUGCGAAGGCAGCUUACCAAGCUACUUCUGACAUUGAGGCACGAAAGCGUGGGGAGCAAACAGGAUUAGAUACCCCAGUAGUC